AUGGACUUCUGCAAGGCCUUUGAAAUGGUCCCCCACCACAUCAUUAUCUCUAAACUGGAGAGAAAAUUAGAUGUAACAGUGAUCAUUCAUGCUAUGCAAGAGAUGCACUUGCCCUAGACGAUCUGCUAUACUGGUUUGCAGACUGGGAUAGACCUUCAGACCAGAGAUAUUUUAUGCCAUUGCAGUGCUCUGUAAUUCAUACAGCUCCAUCAUAGUGUACGCAAGGUACACUGGAAAGAGGGCAACCAUCUGUCACAGGAAUGGUUACACAAGAAAACAGGAGCAAAAACUAUUAUUCUAUUGUCAACAUCCAGAUGAGUCCCAAAAUUUGCUGCAGUGGGGUUGAUUUUAAGGCAUACAACAAUCUGACUUAUUUACAGUAUGGAA